AUGAGUAAGGCUCUAGUCAUGCUGUUGCUUUGGCUGUGCAACCCAUAGACAAAGAUCUUCCCAGAGGUGUUGUGGGUCCCUUAGAACAAAAGUUCCCAGAAGCCAGGCAUGAAUGGAAUUGUUCUCAAGUCCCAGGGCUGGGUGGUUUUUGUUAUGGGAAGAGCCAAGAUGUCUCCCAGGAGAGACACAAAAGACAAUGGCUCAGUCACUAACUGACCUCUGUAUGUGUUUUCUUCCAAGGAGUGAGAAAAACUACAGACAAACGAAGAGUGAGGUAAGCUUGAGACUGGGUGCUGUGGAAGAGAUGCAGAGUAAGCCGAACUAAUGUCUCCCCUUCUGUUUCCUAGGAAAAAAUUAUCUGGUUAAGGUGGCCACUGUGGCUUAGAAAUAUAUUAAAACAAGACACGUCCAAGAAAAGUGGGUAUGAGUUACAGGGUGAUACAUCUUUGGCAGAGAAGACGGAUGUUCAGGAUGAAUCAUGGUAAAUGUCUAGCUCAAUGAGGAGCUAAGGGCAGGUUGUUCAGUUUCAAAGUUUGAAAGCCUUGGCAUUGUUCUUCCAGGGAGGUCGACAAAGAAGGCCCAGUGGAACCAAAAGAUACUGAAGAGGAGGCGCCUGAAACAUUGGAAGACGCAAAAUGAUCAGCUAUAGUUUAUUAAUAAAUUAUUUUUUGUAGAUUUGUGUCAAAGGCCUUUGUGAAGACAUGAAAAUUAAUGCACAGCAAAUAAAAUUGUGGGCCAGUAAGAUGGCUCCUCCUCACCGUGUG
rnacentral:lncRNA from 1 species